rnacentral:snRNA from 1 species
AUGAUAUAGUUGUAACCCCAUUGGUAACUAGGGCUAACUCGGAUGAUUUGGCUGUUUAGGAGGGUGGCCCUAUCUUCCCUUACCACUCCAUAUUCAUUCUUUCUUAGAUAAUGCCCAUAGUCAAAGAGGAAAGCCUUGGCUGGCUAAGAACUGGUCUUCAGUCAAGAGUAAAUAGAGUAGUAGCUAGGCUUCCCCAUUAGUAUCACCAAACAAGCCCUCAAGGCCCCUUACUUUGACAUUUAGUGGUCAAGGUCACCAUACAAGUAACAAAGAAAUGUGACUAGUAUAAGAACACUCACACUAU